GUAAGAAAUACGGUGAGACAGUUUAUUUGGAAGAAGGGUGAGAGCUCCAAAAUACCGAAAGCUUCCAUGGUACAAAUCAAGUAAAAUCGAAAUCAUAAGAGAAAAUCUUGCAAAAAUCAAGACCAGACAAAAUCAAGGGUAACUGUAACUACCUUUUCUUCAAAAUUCUCUUUCCAAAAUUGCAGCUAAUCAACCAAAAAUUAUAGAUUUUUAUGUUUUAGAUUUUUUUUUACUCAAUUAAUUCAUAUUUUGUUUUAUUUUGAUGUUGUUGAGGUUUUUUCAUUCUAGUACAUAUGAAAUUUCAUCUUUAGAUUAAUAAUUUGAGUUAGUAUAAAUUGAAGAUCAAAUUUUGUAUGGAUUGAAUUGAGUUAAUAUAUAUGAAAAGUUAAAUUUGACUCAGUUUAAGUGAUGCAUGUAGGAUGUUUGUGAAAAUGAGAAUGUGAAAAGUAAGCGGUUGUUCUCUUUGUCGUUUUCAAGCCUAUUUCUGUUUCCGAUUUUUCAAAACUGUGAAAACGCGUUCUCCUACCAAUUUUCGAAAAUGAAUUUUGAAGGAAAAAAAAAUUUGUACACAAAACUCAAAACAUCUUAACAUCUAAAAAGAUGUUUUGAGUGUUUUCUAGCAAAAACCCAGUAUAUUUACAAAACACGGCAAACACUCUCUCAUUUCAUUUUCUCACAAUCCCUGCGUCUCUCUCUCCUUCCACUCCUUUACCUUUUCGCUCACUGCAUCUCUCUCUUCCAACUACCGUGGGUCUGCAUCUUGACUCUCUACACCGUGCGUGUGUACAUCUAUCGUCUGUGGUCUUCCGUGCAUGGUGCGUCUGUGGUGCUGUCUCUGGUCUGCCGUCUUCAAAGGUAUGGAAGAUUGAAACUUUCUGAUUUAGGGCCUUCUGAUUUAAGGAUUUGUAUAGCUCUGACCACAUGGUUGUUCCUGUUGAUUUUACAGAUUCUUCUUCUAGCUUUGAGAACUUGGAGAAUAAGUGUACAUUUCUCUACAUCUCUCUGCUCGUGUGUGGUAUAUGUUUGUUGGGUUCUCAAUUUUUAUAUAAUUCUACUUGGUUAUGGUUGUAAAUGAAAGUAAUUAAUGGUUCCAUAAGUAGUUAUCCUAUUUGUGCUGGUGAUAUAGAUGGCUGCUUGCGCAGAAUUUCCAAUUUCUUUUUGGGAGUGUCAAACAUGGUGAAGUUCAGGUGUGAUUUUUUGAAGAAAAGGGUUUUGCAGGGAAGAUAUGCAAAUUAAAGGUUACAAAUAAAAUUGAAAGAGUGCACAGGUUAACUUAUUUUCAAAUGGAAGAUUAAAAAGAUGUUGAUAAAAGAGGAAAAGUGUGAAUAUGAAAGCCCUGUUAUGUCCAUAGGGCAGAAUAAGGCUUAACAUGGCUUCUUGUAGUUGCAAGUGGUUUUGUUCCAUUGAACUUCUAAGGGAUUUAGUGAUAAACUGGAUGGAAUGGUGAGAAAGUGUUCGUGUACCCAUCCCAGUUGGAAAUUGGAUGUAUUAUUUCUUUAUGUACAAUCUAUGAUCAAGAAACUUGUGGAAUUGCAGAGGUUGGGAAGUAAUCAAUUUGCAGGAUGUGUAGUGAAAUUUACAAUCCAACUGGAGAUUGGGAAAGGGUUAAGGCAAAGAGAAAAGAGUUUUAAGCAAGAAAUAUUGGAGAAUCUAAAAGAGGGAUGCGUUUCUGAGGCUGAAGCAGCCACCAUUGCUGCAGAGGUUUUGUGGGGGGCUUCACCUUGAAAAUUUGGAAAGCUAAUAGGAGUAAAAAUGGGAGAUUAUGGAUUUAUUUUUUUAUUUUAGAAAUUUUUUGGUGAAAAAAUUGUGUUGUAUAAUAUGUUUGGAAAUGUGUUUAUUAUGAAUAAUUGAAAAUCAUUUCAUAAUUUAGAAUUUAAAACAUGGAUAUCCUUUCUAAUAUUUUGUAAGGUAGGAAAUUAAGAAUGGCAAUGAAAUGGGGACAAAACAACCAUUACUAUCCUAUCCAAUUGAGUCAAGAAAAAUAAAUUAAAUCAUAAUUAAAAAAAAAACGUUUGUUUGUCAUCCAUUUUGGACGAGUACCUUGGACUAUAAUUAGGAGUACAUUGGACUAUAAUCAUUAGUUCGAAUCCUUACACUCCUGUUUUAGCGAACUCAUCUAUUCAUAAUCACAAAGUGGUACGAUUGCCUUUGUCCCUUAAUGCUUAUGCUCAAGCCAAUUGUUCAAGUUCUAAGAUACCGACUCCUGAUGUCUUUAUAGUCCAGGUGACAACCUAUGCUCAUUCAGUCAUUAGAAAAGUGACAUCCGAGGGAUUAUAAUUUUUUGUUAUCUCACUAUCAUAUGAUUGGCUUUAGUUUUACGCUAAUGUUGAAUUUUGUGAAACUUUUUGGUUAGGUUCAAACCCUCACACUGUCGUUUUAGAGAACUCAUCUAUGUAUGUAUUGCUUCCUUCGACUGGAGUUACAGUGGAAUUUGCAAGUCAAUAGAGAAGAUCAAAUUUGCACAACCAGAUUGUGAAUGGAAAGCACGAGUUAUGGAGCUACGACAUCUUUUGCAUUAGAAUAGAGGGGAUAUUCCCAAAAAGAAAAAAGGGAUAGAGAGGAUGUUAUUUUUUUUGGAUAUGAUACAUGAUUGAGAGUAUAAUAGCAUCAAAUGUGUUAUUUGCCUCAAAAGGACUAUAGACUUUUGAAGUAAUUUAUACACCUGACGUUUUAAUCAAGGCAAAUUUUACAUUUCACGAUCAUGUUUCAUGUUAUUGAAUUUCGAUUUAUGUUUCUGUUUUUGUUUGGUCAUUCUGUAUUUAUGCAUGAUUAAAAACUAUCGUCUCGACUCAAAAUAAG
rnacentral:lncRNA from 1 species